UACGGGGGGUGCGAGCGUUGUCCGGAAUCACUGGGCGUAAAGGGCGCGUAGGUGGCGUGAUAAGGGUGUGGUGAAAGCCCGGGGCUCAACCCCGGGUCUGCCAUGCCGACUGUCAGGCUGGAGUACUGUAGGGGCAGGCGGAAUUCCGGGUGUAGCGGUGGAAUGCGUAGAGAUCCGGAGGAAGACCGGUGGCGAAGGCGGCCUGCUGGGCAGUUGCUGACGCUGAUGCGCGACAGCGUGGGGAGCAAACAGG
rnacentral:rRNA from 1 species